rnacentral:rRNA from 1 species
UCGGGCCAGCUCGAUACCACGCCUAUCUGAGGGUCGAAU